UGGCCGGGCUGAUAAGGGCAGAUGCUGUCCAUAGCCAGGGGGCGGGGGGAGAAGCGGAGGACGGGGUUAUUUACGAUUCCCAAGAAGGGCGGCUGGAAAGUUACACCUGUUUGUACGUGAGAAAGGAAAAUACGAGUGUGCCGCUCUCCGGCCGCCGGCGGCAAACGUGACCGAGCAGCACUUCCGAUGGUGUCGGUCCGUCGAACAGAGGCGGCCGCCGGCAGGUCUGGGGGCUGGGAGGGCUCGGCGCGUCCCCCCUGCCAUCGGGAGGGAGUCGCAUCUGACUCCCCGCUCGGCACCACCUGCGCGAGGCACCAAGAGCUGGCGCAUCAGCCCUACGGGUAUACGAAAACGGUGCAGGCGUCCACCGCCAGCUCUUGAUGCUUUGUCACUGCAGGCCUUCACCGCGGUACAGCCAAGUUCUCCAUCACGACUGCAUUUGAGUGACAUAACCUGAUGUUUUACUGCUGUGUUAUAACAAUGAAAACCAAACAAUCUCUGUCUGAUUUCAAUGGAUGCAAACCCAGUUUCGUGAAACUAUCAACUUUAUCAAUUUAUUUAGAUUCUUCAGCAGCGGUCAGUUACCUUCCAAGUCACCCUGUUUUUGGAAAACAGACUACAGAUGUCAGUACUGCAUAUUUCAGCCUUAAAUUACUGAAACUGGAGGCAUGCAUGUUCAGUGGUGGCAAGUAGCUUAUCAUUACAAGGAAUAGUUCAGAGGGGAAUUGUUCUGCACAACAUAUUAAAAUGAUUUGGAAAUUAUAUUUUUCCUCUUCCUUGGCAGCCCACGAAGUAGCAGACCCACUAAUCACUGCAAUCUCUACUGUUCCUUUCGUAAAAAGUAGUGGAAGCAACUUUUUAUAAUUAUAAACACCUUGUGCAACAAACAGGAAAAAAUUUUUGGCAGCAAGCUUGAAUAAAUACGUCAUAUUUAUAAAGAGAACAAGUUAAAAAUUGUAACAAAUAUUCUUUAAAGAAAGUAACAAGGAUGU